CUGAUCUUAAAAACCUAAGUAAUGUUUCCUUGUUAGAAGACACAAAGCCAAAGACUCAUAUGGACUUUGGCUACACCAUGAAAGCUUUGAGAAGCAAGAAGAAGGUUGGUUAGUGUUUUGGAGUCGAAUAUGACUUGAUGUCAUGUGUAUGAUUGAGUAUAAGAACUUAAACCCCAACCUAAUCUUAUAAGCCUAAGUAGUGUUUCCUUGUUAGAAGAUACAAAGCCAAAGACUCAUACGGACUUUGACUACACCAUGAAAGCUUUGAGAAGCAAGAAGAAGGUUAGUUAGUGUUUUGGAGUCGAAUAUGACUUGAUGUCAUGUGUAUGAUUGAGUAUAACAACUUAAACCGCAACCCGAUCUUAAAAGCCUAAGUAGUGUUUCCUUGUUAGAAGACACAAAGCCAAAGACUCAUAUGGACUUUGGCUACACCGUGAAAGCUUUGAGAAGCAAGAAGAAGGUUGGUUAGUGUUUUGGAGUGAAUAUGACUUGAUGCCAUGUGUAUGAUUGAGUAUAAGAACUUAAACUGCAACCCAAUCUUAAAUGCCUAAGUAGUGUUUCCUUGUUAGAAAACACAAAGCCAAAGACUCAUAUGGACUUUGGUUACACCAUGAAAGCUUUGAGAAGCAAGAAGAAGGUGGGUUAGUGGUUUGGAGUCGAAUAUGACUUGAUGUCAUGUGUAUGAUUGAGUAUAAGAACUUAAACCGCAACCGGAUCUUAAAGGCGUAAGAAUUGUAUCCUUGUUAGAAGACACAAAGCCAAAGACUCAUAUGGAAUUUGGCUAUACCAUGAAAGCUUUUAGAAGCAAGAAGAAGGUUGGUUAGUGUUUUGGAGUCGAAUAUGACUUGUUGUCAUGUGUAUGAUUGAGUAUAAGAACUUAAACUGCAACCUGAUCUUAAAAGCCUAAGUAGUGUUUCCUUGUUAAAAGACACAAAGCCAAAGACUCAUAUGGACUUUGGCGACACAAUGAAAGCUUUAAAAAGCAAGAAGAAUGUUGGUUAGUGUUUUGGAGUCGAAUAUGACUUGAUGUCAUGUGUAUGAUUGAGUAUAAGAACUUAAACCGCAACCCGAUCUUAAAAGCCUAAGUAGUGAUUCCUUGUUAGAAGAUACAAAGCCAAAGACUCAUACGGACUUUGACUACACCAUGAAAGCUUUGAGAAGCAAGAAGAAGGUUGGUUAGUGUUUUGGAGUCGAAUAUGACUUGAUGUCGUGUGUAUGAUUGAGUAUAAGAACUUAAACCGCAUCUGGAUCUUAAAGGCGUAAGAAUUGUAUCCUUGUUAGAAGACACAAAGCCAAAGACUCAUAUGGACUUGGGCUACACCAUGAAAGCUUUGAGAAGCAAGAAGAAGGUUGGUUAGUUGUUUGGAGUCGAAUAUGACUUAAUGUCAUGUGUAUGAUUGAGUAUAAGAACUUAAACCGCAACCCGAUCUUAUAAGCCUAAGUAGUGUUUCCUUCUUAGAAGAUACAAAGCCAAAGAUUCAUACGGAUUUUGGCUACACCAUGAAAGCCUUGAGAAGCAAGAUGAAGGUUGGUUAGUGUUUUGGAGUCGAAUAUGACUUGAUGUCAUGUGUAUGAUUGAGAAAAACAACUUAAACCGCAACCCGAUCUUAAGAGCCUAAGUAGUGUUUCCUUGUUAGAAGACACAAAGCCAAAGACUCAUAUAGACUUUGGCUACACCAUGAAAGCUUUGAGAAGCAAGAAGAAGGUUGGUUAGUGUUUUGGAGUGAAUAUGACUUGAUGUCAUGUGUAUGAUUGAGUAUAAGAACUUAAACCGCAACCCGAUCUUAAAAGCCUAAGUAGUGUUUCCUUGUUAGAAGACACAAAGCCAAAGACUCAUAUGGACUUUGGUUACACCAUGAAW
rnacentral:sRNA from 1 species